CUCCAGAGACUAAUCCUUCCUUUGGCUGGCUCUGCUGCUGCUAUGGCAAUAUUUUCUCCCCCAUCGUGGUAAUCACGCAAUGGUCUCUGAGAACAGCAGGAGAAGCAGUGCCUGGUAGAUGCAUAAAAGAGCUGAUAGAACGCUCAGAAUGAAGGCAGCUGAUGGCAGGGGGACCUUCAGCUUGUCCAGCCCAGCCCCGGCUCCCAGCCCUCUGCUGCACGUGGUGGGCUCAGAGCCCCUCAGAGCCACAUCCUGCCUGGCCCCCCUGCCCAUGCCAGCCUCGGGCCCUGCUCUGGCCAUGGCACUGCAGCCUCAGAACGGAAGUUCCUGGUGUUCCCGACCGGUGCUGGAAUGCUGCUUCCACCUCCAGGAAUGCAAAUGAACGGGGUUUGAUCCAAAUUGCAUUUCCUCUCCUAGUCUGGAGUAUGACGGCACAUUAAAACCUGUAAUAUUCCA